UACAGAGGUCUCGAGCGUUAGGCGGAAUCACUGGGCUUAAAGCGUGUGUAGGCGGAUCGGUAAGUACCUUGUGAAAUCCCACAGCUUAACUGUGGAACUGCUUGGUAUACUGCCAGUCUUGAGCCAGCUAGGGGCUACCGGAACAAAUGGUGGAGCGGUGAAAUGCGUAGAUAUCAUUUGGAACGCCAAUGGUGAAAACAGGUAGCUGGGGCUGUGCUGACGCUGAGACACGAAAGCCAGGGGAGCAGACGGG
rnacentral:rRNA from 1 species